rnacentral:lncRNA from 1 species
GGAGAGCUAAGAGCUGAAUUAAAAUAUAAGCGGUAACAAUUACAAACCAUAAACAAAACCACACAGGUUCCAGCAACCUAUUUGUGAGGGGUCACAAUGCCUCCCAGACACAUCAAAAUCAUACAAUCCUCCCUGUUUACAGAGAAGAACAGACACCUAAUGAAAAGAGAAAAAACUACUUCGAAUAUAAGGGAAAGGUUGACACCACAAGAUCCAUGUACAAUGGAUGAAAGCUUCAGCAUUGUCCUGUCAUUCCUACCAGUAACCACC